AACAAAUUAACAAAAAAAAUCAAAUUAACCCUUUCUCGUAUUCCAGAAAUCUCGUCGCCGCUUACCCUUCUUCAUCUUCACCGCUUAAACCCAUAAAUCUUCUCUUCACCGUCAAACUUCACCUUCAUCAAACUCGAACCCUUCAUCUUCAUCUUCUUCACUGCUCAAACCCUCCAAUUGUAUGAUUCUUUGUGCUUUCUGACAGAUUUAACUCCAAUAGGAGAAAUAGGUUAUCAUUUUAACUUUUAUUUCUCACUUUUUAAGCUUACAUUUCAAACUUCAGAGAAACUAAGGUUUCUGAACAAUCCUUACUCACAAGUAUUUUCUCUCUCUACUGAAGAGCAAUUGAAGAGCACUAAUAAACUAUAGGCAGUUUAGAAUUCAAGGAUUAGAGACAACCAUGUUAAGAAAAACUUCUAUCAGAAAGCAGGAAGACCUGCUUGAGCUUUUGACUUGCAGCGCUCCGGUAAUAAUGUUAUGGAUAAGCUUGUGGAUUUUGUCCACUAUUUGCAUUUGGAGAUAAAUCAGGCUUUUGGCAGUGCAGGUUUCAAGUGAAGAAGUUGUGCCUUGAAAGAAGGUUUACUGGUCAUUUUCAAGCAUGGUUUAUCUAUUCAUGGAUUCCAAAUGUCAUUGUUGCUAAGAAGUAAGAAAACAGAAAAUCCAUCUCAAGCAUGAAAGAAGCAAUUGUUGAUGAUAGAUUUGAGGUUUUGUAAUUGUUGAUAGUGGCAUGUGUUAAAAGACAAGGCUUGGUUAGGCUUUACAAGCUGCUUAUAAAGCUGAUUGGUAUGUUCUCUAUAUAGUGUGCAAUAUGUCACAAUCUACGGAAGUUGUUCAUGAGUGUUGGAAGAACUUCACAUGUCUAUAUAACUGGUUUAUAUAGAAUUGAAAGAGUUUGCAACUCUGCAUCAAUAUACUUUGUUGGAACUAAAGUUUUACAUUGACAAAAGUAUUUACUGACUAGACGUUCACAUUUGAUCAUAUUCAAUUUUAGAGCCAAAAGCAACAAAUAGUUAUGAGUGCGGCUAUUAUGUCAUGAUACACAUGUUGAACAUUGUAUCUACUCGUGUUGUUGGUUCAUGGAACCAAGUAUGGUUACAAUUUUAAUGAUAUGCAGUUAACCCAACACAUUAAGAAGGGAUAUGAAGUUUUUUCAAGACUUAGAAUAAUUCAUUAUUGUAUUGGUUCUCUCUGUGUUAGAAUUGUAAUUAUUUUGUAAUUAGUUACUUAUUUCUUCAUGAGUGAUAUUAUCCCUUAAUUUAGUUUGUAAAUUUGUUCUUAUGUAAUUUAAAUUGGGGAAAUAAAUUACUCUCAUUUGGAUAUUUGGUUGGCAAAUAUAAAGCUACCGUAUUUUUUAUUA